CUGGAACUGACAGCUCUUCAACUCUCGGAAAACGUGUUGUUUCUCCAACCUUGUGUUCUUUUGACUGGCGAUGGGUGCCAACCCUCUUUUCGUGGGAUGGACGACGAGGCAGAGAGGCUGACCGUCGGUGUAUUUUGUGUGUGUGUGUCUUUCAACUGGCGCAGGACAACAAAUUCAAUGCGAAUUCAACAAACUAUCUGCUUUAACUCAUUACACCGGAGCUGCUUCAAUUCUUCUUUUCUGCAAAUAGCACGGUCCUAACCACAGAGAGACUGAGACGCAGAAGCUGAUCUUAAACAAAGAGUGUUUUCCCCAAUACCUGGCAAUGGAGGUUCCUAUAAGAUAACAACAGAUUGUACACCUGUCACAUGAAGACAUGGGAAUACUAAAAGUUUUAACGGACAAAUGUGUGAGCUUUAAAAAAGUGAUUAUUAUAAAAUCGUUCUGCUUUACCAACCACUUUUGUAAACCGUAAGUUUGGAGAUGACUUUCUUGAUUUAACCCCUUUUAUGGUGAAAAUAACUUCUU